ensembl:lincRNA 4930405D11Rik RIKEN cDNA 4930405D11 gene
CAGUUAAGCAGUGUGUCUGCUUACUGUCUGUUAUAUAACUUUAGACCCAAGGAUAAUGCUUGACAGAGUCAGUAUUCAAAAAUCUGUCCAAGGUGCCUUUGUUUGGUGCUCUCCGACGAGGAGUGUUUGAGCAAUAUAUGCACAAGUAGGUUUGAAGACAUGUCUUUAAUGUCUUUGCAAACUUAAUUUUCAUUGUGGAAACCAAUAAGGAGCCUGCAUCCCUUCAAUUUCUGAGCCAGUUAUCCCAGAAAAAGUUAAUGCUAGGUUUCUUCUAACAGCUGCCAAAACUUGAAUUGGAGAUGCUAGAGAGGAAGAUGUAGAAAAUGGGCAAAAUAUCAGCCUGAUACCAUGAGGAUGAAUGAGAGAGAGCUUACCCUUGCCUCUCCACAACUAUGGCAGCUUGGUGGUUUUGGACCCAGUCUGAAAAUGUAGAAACUGAGCUGAUUUCUGUUGAGCAUUUCUCAAAGUAUGACAUAUGCGGCAGCACUUGAGAUGAUUUUAGGGUGUGUGGACAAACUUUGUUAUCAUGUCAAUUAUAGAUAUAUCUAAUGACCAUAGAAAA